UAGGAGGAAGGGCUUUGGGGAGGUUAGAUCAUGAGGAAAGAACAUUUGUAAAUGAGAUUAGUGCUCAGAAAGAAUGGCCAGUGGAGUUCACUUAGUCCUUGCCCUGGUGAGAAAGCAGUAAGAAGUUUGAAGCCCUUCAUCUUGCCGAAUGGGGAUUAGAUACACUCGUACUACUAAGCCAGAUGCUGGGGUUUCAGUCACAAAUGAGGGAGGGAUGGUCCAUGCCCUCACAGAGCUCAGGACCUUAUGGUGGAGGCAGACAGGAUACAAGUCUUUAGCAAAGAUGAGAGUGAUGGUGCGAAUACAAGUAAGGAGAGGAAAUGCCCCAACAUAGAAGGCGAGAGAACCUGCUCCCCAAGUUUCCUUCAAGGUACUUUCUUUUGUAAUCAUAAAUUCUUUAUUGUCUUGCUUUAUCUGUGUGUAUACAUAUGACCUUUCUCGUGACGUAGGGGACAUCUCUUUUAAAUGUAAUCCUCAAGGGAGAUCGUUCCCUUCUCUUGUUUCCUUGGUACAGUUGGGACCUAAUUACUGUGAGGCGCCUCUGUCUCCAUCUGCCUUCUGUUAGGAAGCUGGCUUGUUUUUCCUCUAGCUCAAGCCAUUUUAGUCAGUGCAGGUGGUUUAAGCAAGUUACUAGGAGAAUUUAGGAUGAACUUUAUGCUUAUCCCAAAGGUGUGACAAGGGUGCUUGCCAAGCUUUCUUAAUUGAGAACAAGCUGUUUAUUUUUAGAGUAUGUGCCAUGAAUUGUAUCUGUUUGGUUAUAUAAUGUCAUCCUGCAAUUGUCAUCUCUUUAGUGGCUUGCCUGUAAGAUCUGUCAGCAUUGGUACGAUGCUUUCAUACUAGAAUGACUUCUUCCAAUACUGUGGAAAGGACUUUUGGAGGAUUGGCCAGAGAUUUUGCUUUCAUUUAAACUUUCCCAACAAGAAGAGUAAGAUUCCCCAAGUACUGCUGUAGAAAGGAAGUCUGGGACAGCCAUUCUGGGGAGUUACCAGAUCAUAUUUGGUAAAUAAGAAUGCUUACCUUAGCUUAGAAGUUCCAUUCCUGCUAUUUAUCCCAGAGAAAUUGUCCUUGAGAAAACAAUUACAGGUUGAACACUGUGGUGUUGUUUAUUGGAAUCAAGCUGGGAGCCCAUUACUAGGAACAUAACAAGAACAAAAGACAACAAUGGCUGGUGUAUGUUAUAGUCUAGAAU
ensembl:lncRNA